rnacentral:rRNA from 1 species
GACGAACCGUGCGAACGUUAUUCGGAAUCACUGGGCUUAAAGGGCGCGUAGGCGGGCGGCCAAGUCAGAGGUGAAAGCCCCCAGCUCAACUGGGGAAGUGCCUUUGAUACUGGUCGUCUCGAGGGAGAUAGGGGCGUGCGGAACUUCCGGUGGAGCGGUGAAAUGCGUAGAUAUCGGAAGGAACACCGGUGGCGAAAGCGGCGCACUGGACCACAUCUGACGCUGAGGCGCGAAAGCUAGGGGAGCAAACAGG